UACGUAGGGCGCAAGCGUUGUCCGGAAUUAUUGGGCGUAAAGAGCUCGUAGGCGGCUUGUCACGUCGGGUGUGAAAGCCCGGGGCUUAACCCCGGGUCUGCAUUCGAUACGGGCUAGCUAGAGUGUGGUAGGGGCGAGCGGAACAGAUGGUGGAGCGGUGAAAUGCGUAGAUAUCAUCUGGAACGCCAAUGGUGAAAACAGCUCGCUGGGGGUUUGCAGACGCUGAGACACGAAAGCCAGGGGAGCGAACGGG
rnacentral:rRNA from 1 species